rnacentral:rRNA from 1 species
UUGGGCGUAAAGCGCGCGCAGGUGGUUUCUUAAGUCUGAUGUGAAAGCCCACGGCUCAACCGUGGAGGGUCAUUGGAAACUGGGAGACUUGAGUGCAGAAGAGGAAAGUGGAAUUCCAUGUGUAGCGGUGAAAUGCGUAGAGAUAUGGAGGAACACCAGUGGCGAAGGCGACUUUCUGGUCUGUAACUGACACUGAGGCGCGAAAGCGUGGGGAGCAAACAGGAUUAGAUACCCUGGUAGUCCACGCCGUAAACGAUGAGAUGCUAAGUGUUAGAGGGCCUUCCCGCCCUUUAGUGCGGAAGUUAACUCAUUAUGCUCUCCGCCUGGGGUAUCCGGCCGCAAACCGUGAAUCUCUGAGGAAUGCGCGGGCGACUGCGACAGCAGUUCCCCUUGCCCCUAAACUCGUGUCUACGUCCACACCUUAACAGCUCUCGCCUCUCCACCCUUACUAAAGAUUCGACCCCUAUUCCGGCACCCCUGUCCUUCGUGGUUUUUCUUUCUCGACCCCCCCUUUUCUUCUUUUUUGAACUUUCUUCUCGACGAGCGCAAACCCCCGCCCCUNUUUCCAUNAUUUUGCUGGGGCUCCUGUUUCUACCCCCCUUUAUAUAUCAGAAGUCUGUGAGGCUCCCCUCCACCCGCUCCUCCUUUCGAUGUGUGCCUCGCGCUUUC